CGCCUGCCGGCGACCGGCGCACGGGUGAGUAACACGUAUGCGACCUGCCCCCGCAGGGGAUAACCGGGAGAAAUCCCGACUAAUACCGCGUAACGCCGCGGACCUGCAUGGGUCUGCGGCCAAAGGAAGCGAUUCCGGCGGGGGAUGGGCAUGCGGCGCAUUAGCUAGUCGGCGGGGUAACGGCCCACCGAGGCGACGAUGCGUAGGGGUUCUGAGAGGAAGGUCCCCCACACUGGUACUGAGACACGGACCAGACUCCUACGGGAGGCAGCAG
rnacentral:rRNA from 1 species